UACGAAAGGUGGCAAGCGUUACUCGGAAUCACUGGGCGUAAAGGCGCGCGUAGGCGGUCCUGUAUGGUCGAUUGUGAAAGCCCUGGGCUCAACCUACGGAACAGCAGUCGAAACUGCAGGACUUGAAUGUUGGAGAGGGUGGGGGAAUACCUAGUGGAGAAGUGAAAUUCGUAGAGAUUAGGUGGAACACCAGAGGCGAAGGCGCCUGCCUGGCCAAAGCUUGAGCUGAG
rnacentral:rRNA from 1 species